rnacentral:rRNA from 1 species
UAAAACCAGCACCUCAAGUGGUCAGGAUGAUUAUUGGGCCUAAAGCAUCCGUAGCCGGCUUUGUAAGUUUUCGGUUAAAUCCAUGUGCUCAACGCAUGGGCUGCAGAAAAUACUGCAUAGCUAGGGAGUGGGAGAGGUAGACGGUACUCAGUAGGUAGGGGUAAAAUCCUUUGAUCUAUUGAUGACCACCUGUGGCGAAGGCGGUCUACCAGAACACGUUCGACGGUGAGGGAUGAAAGCUGGGGGAGCAAACCGGAUUAGAUACCCGGGUAGUCCCAGCUGUAAACGAUGCAGACUAGAUGAUGCAUUGGCAUAAUAGCCAUUGCAGUGUCUCAGGGAAGCCGUUAAGUCUGCCGCCUGGGAAGUACGUACGCAAGUAUG